rnacentral:RNase_P_RNA from 4 species
GCAGAUGGAUGGACAAUCGCCCUUAGGGGAGGAAAGUCCGGACACUAAAAAAGGGUGGCAGGUAACGCCUGCCGGGCGCAAGCCCAGGGAUCAGUGCAACAGAAACAUACCGCCUUCGGGUAAGGGUGAAAUCGUGAGGUAAGAGCUCACGCGGAUUGGCAGUAAUGCCAGUACGGUGAAAACCCCACCUGGUGCAACCUCAAACAAUGGUAGAGGGCAAAGAAACCAGCAGCAAUGUUGGUUCAAGAUAGAUGAUUGUCUUCAAUGACAGAAUCCGGCUUACAGUCCAUCUGCAACU